rnacentral:rRNA from 1 species
UACGUAGGGCGCGAGCGUUAUCCGGAAUUAUUGGGCGUAAAGAGCUCGUAGGCGGUUUGUCGCGUCUGCCGUGAAAGUCCGGGGCUUAACCCCGGAUCUGCGGUGGGUACGGGCAGACUGGAGUGUAGUAGGGGAGAGUGGAAUUCCUGGUGUAGCGGUGAAAUGCGCAGAUAUCAGGAGGAACACCGAUGGCGAAGGCAGGUCUCUGGGCUGUUACUGACGCUGAGGAGCUAAAGCAUGGGGAGCGAACAGG